rnacentral:pre_miRNA from 1 species
AGAGGGAUAGCUGGGUCAAAUGGUGGUUCCAUUCCCAGAUUUCCAAGGAAUCUCCAUACUGCUUUCCAUAUUGGCUGCACCAAUUUGCAGUCCUACCAGCAAU